rnacentral:rRNA from 1 species
UGAGGAAUAUUGGACAAUGGGCGAAAGCCUGAUCCAGCCAUGCCGCGUGAAGGAAGAAGGUUCUAUGGAUUGUAAACUUCUUUUGAUAGAGAGCAAUAAACUCCACGUGUGGAGCGAUGAGAGUAUCUAUCGAAUAAGCAUCGGCUAACUCCGUGCCAGCAGCCGCGGUAAUACGGAGGAUGCAAGCGUUAUCCGGAUUCAUUGGGUUUAAAGGGUGCGUAGGCGGUUUGGUAAGUCAGUGGUGAAAGUUUGCAGCUUAACUGUAAAAUUGCCAUUGAUACUGCCGGGCUCGAAAGUAGUUGAAGUGGGUGGAAUGUGUGGUGUAGCGGUGAAAUGCAUAGAGAUCACACAGAAUAUCAAUAGCGAAGGCAACUCACUAAACUAUGUUUGACGCUGAGGCACGAAAGUGUGGGGAUCAAACAGGAUUAGAUACCCUGGUAGUCCACACUGUAAACGAUGAUAACUAGCCGUUUGCGAUAUACCGUAAGUGGCUGAGCGAAAGCGUUAAGUUAUCCACCU